AUUCGAGUUGCACGCUCUAGACCCGAAGCGGAGUGAUCUAGCCAUGGGCAGGUUGAAGCGGCUGUAAGAGGUCGUGGAGGACCGAACCCACCAGGGUUGAAAACCUGGGGGAUGACCUGUGGUUAGGGGUGAAAGGCCAAUCAAACUCCGUGAUAGCUGGUUCUCCCCGAAAUGCAUUUAGGUGCAGCGUCGUGUGUUUCUUGCCGGAGGUAGAGCACUGGAUAGGCGAUGGGCCCUACCGGGUUACUGACCUUAGCCAAACUCCGAAUGCCGGUAAGUGAGAGCGCGGCAGUGAGACUGUGGGGGAUAAGCUCCAUGGUCGAGAGGGAAACAGCCCAGAGCAUCGACUAAGGCCCCUAAGCGUACGCUAAGUGGGAAAGGAUGUGGAGUCGCAGAGACAACCAGGAGGUUGGCUUAGAAGCAGCCACCCUUGAAAGAGUGCGUAAUAGCUCACUGGUCUAGUGAUUCCGCGCCGACAAUGUAGCGGGGCUCAAGCGUACCGCCGAAGUCGUGUCAUUGCAGCAAUACUCCCAACGGAGGCUGUGAUGGGUAGGGGAGCGUCGUGUGCCGGGUGAAGCAGCCGUGGAAGCGAGUUGUGGACGGUUCACGAGUGAGAAUGCAGGCAUGAGUAGCGAUUCACACGUGAGAAACGUGUGCGCCGAUUGACUAAGGGUUCCUGGGUCAAGCUGAUCUGCCCAGGGUAAGUCGGGACCUAAGGCGAGGCCGACAGGCGUAGUCGAUGGAUAACCGGUUGAUAUUCCGGUACCCGCUGUGAAGCGUCAAACAUUGAAUCCAGUGAUGCUAAGCCCGUGAAGCCGUUCCGGACCCUUCGGGGAAUGGAAAGUGGUGGAGCCGGUGGCCCGAGCUGGUAGUAGGUGAGUGAUGGGGUGACGCAGGAAGGUAGUCCAUCCCGGGCGGUGGUUGUCCCGGGGUAAGGGUGUAGGACGUCAGGUAGGUAAAUCCGCCUGGCACAUAGUCUGAGACCUGAUGCCGAGCCGAUUGUGGUGAAGUGGAUGAUCCUAUGCUGUCGAGAAAAGCCUCUAGCGAGUUUCAUGGCGGCCCGUACCCUAAACCGACUCAGGUGGUCAGGUAGAGAAUACCGAGGCGUUCGGGUGAACUAUGGUUAAGGAACUCGGCAAAAUGCCCCCGUAACUUCGGGAGAAGGGGGGCCAUGUCUGGUGAUGAGUCUUGCACUCUGAGCUGGGUGUGGCCGCAGAGACCAGCGAGAAGCGACUGUUUACUAAAAACACAGGUCCGUGCGAAGCCGUAAGGCGAUGUAUACGGACUGACGCCUGCCCGGUGCUGGAACGUUAAGGGGACCGGUUAGUCACAUUUCGGUGUGGCGAAGCUGAGAACUUAAGCGCCAGUAAACGGCGGUGGUAACUAUAACCAUCCUAAGGUAGCGAAAUUCCUUGUCGGGUAAGUUCCGACCUGCACGAAUGGCGUAACGACUUCUCGACUGUCUCAACCAUAGGCCCGGUGAAAUUGCAUUACGAGUAAAGAUGCUCGUUUCGCGCAGCAGGACGGAAAGACCCCGGGACCUUUACUACAGUUUGAUAUUGGUGUUCGGUUCGGCUUGUGUAGGAUAGGUGGGAGACUGUGAAGCAUGCACGCCAGUGUGUGUGGAGUCGUCGUUGAAAUACCACUCUGGUCGUGCUGGAUGUCUAACCUGGGUCCGUGAUCCGGAUCAGGGACAGUGUCUGAUGGGUAGUUUAACUGGGGCGGUUGCCUCCUAAAGAGUAACGGAGGCGCCCAAAGGUUCCCUCAGCCUGGUUGGUAAUCAGGUGUUGAGUGUAAGUGCACAAGGGAGCUUGACUGUGAGACCGACGGGUCGAGCAGGGACGAAAGUCGGGACUAGUGAUCCGGCGGUGGCUUGUGGAAGCGCCGUCGCUCAACGGAUAAAAGGUACCCCGGGGAUAACAGGCUGAUCUUCCCCAAGAGUCCAUAUCGACGGGAUGGUUUGGCACCUCGAUGUCGGCUCGUCGCAUCCUGGGGCUGGAGUCGGUCCCAAGGGUUGGGCUGUUCGCCCAUUAAAGCGGUACGCGAGCUGGGUUUAGAACGUCGUGAGACAGUUCGGUCCCUAUCCGCUGUGCGCGUAGGAAUAUUGAGAAGGGCUGUCCCUAGUACGAGAGGACCGGGACGGACGAACCUCUGGUGUGCCAGUUGUUCUGCCAAGGGCAUGGCUGGUUGGCUACGUUCGGGAGGGAUAACCGCUGAAAGCAUCUAAGCGGGAAGCCUGCUUCGAGAUGAGUAUUCCCACCUCCUUGAGAGGGUAAGGCUCCCAGUAGACGACUGGGUUGAUAGGCCGGAUAUGGAAGCCCUGUAAGGGGUGGAGUUGACCGGUACUAAUAGGCCGAGGGCUUGUCCUCAGUUG
rnacentral:rRNA from 1 species